CAGGAUGAACGCUAGCGACAGGCCUAACACAUGCAAGUCGAGGGGCAGCACAAGGAGCAAUCUGAGGUGGCGACCGGCGCACGGGUGAGUAACACGUAUGCAACCUGCCUGUAAGCGGGGAAUAACCCGUUGAAAGACGGACUAAUACCGCAUAAUACUAAAUUACUGCAUGGUAAUUUAUUUAAACAUUUAUGGCUUACAGAUGGGCAUGCGCAUGAUUAGCUAGUUGGAGAGGUAACGGCUCCCCAAGGCAACGAUCAUUAGGGGUUCUGAGAGGAAGGUCCCCCACACUGGAACUGAGACACGGUCCAGACUCCUACGGGAGGCAGCAGUGAGGAAUAUUGGACAAUGGAUGGAAAUCUGAUCCAGCCAUGCCGCGUGAAAGGAAGAAGGUCCUAUGGAUUGUAAACUUCUUUUGUAUGGGAGCAAUAAGGCCUACGAGUAGGUUGAUGAGAGUACCAUACGAAUAAGCACCGGCUAACUCCGUGCCAGCCGCCGC
rnacentral:rRNA from 1 species